GUGAAGAGACAAACAAAGCGAAUAACUAAUGGAAAACAAAAAAAAAGGUAAAGAUGUGUUAUUAACAGUGAACAUUUCAAUUUUCACUUCGUCAAGGAACCAUGUAUCCGUUACAAAAAAAGGUAAAUUUAUUAUCUGGAAAUUCCAAUUUAAAUUAACUUAAAUCUUAGAUCAACAGAUUUUAUAGAUGACAAGACAAAGCCAAUGUAAGUAAAAUAUCUAUAAAAUUGCGCUUCUUUUAAUUCAUCUAUGAAAUAAGUAAACAAUUUACAUCCAUUCAGAAUGGCCAUUCAUUUGAAAUAAGAAGUCAGCUGAAAAACAAAUCUAUUGGAACAUAUAAUUUGUUUGUAAUUGGCUAAUUGACUGUGGGUUUUGUUUUAAAAUCAGUGUAAAAAUAUUUUUUGUUUUACAUCUUGUAUCUAUUAGUAUCUCGAUAUGGCCCUGAACAAGAAGGUCGGUCGAUAAUUUUUGAAAAUUUAUGAUUUUAGAUGAAAAAUGCUGAAGCAAUUUCACCGGAGAAAAACAAAGGAAGAGGAGAAGGUUAAGAAAAAAUGUAUUUCAAUCAACAUGUUCAACAGAUUGUCGCAGGGAAACCCAUCGAGGACAAAGUCACAUAUUAGGACUGAUUUGGGCAGCAAUUAAGCUGAUUGGCUAUGCGUAGCAGCUAAAGAAGAGAUCAUUUACCUUCAUCUAAGGAUGUGGUUAAUAUGGAAGAUCAAUUUCGACUUGAAACAAGAUUCUUGAGGUUCAAUUUUUCGUUUAAAAAUUUCCGAUUGGAUUUAUUGGCAUUGUCCUCUUAAAGUUUAUUGAUCUUUAACCAUUAGUUGGCCAUUGAUUGGUUUAAUUUAAUUUGAACAGCUGAAACGCUGCUUUCCGGAAAGCUAGCUUUACCCUUUAUCUAAAAAUUUCAAAUCAACUUUUCUUAAUCGAUGCAUCAACCUUAAGUUACAUGAGAUGUAUUAGGAUUAAUCAUUUAAUUUUACAUUUCUGUGCAGCGUUAAUCAAUGGAGGAUGGAUUAGACAUUUAAAUUAUUGCUAUCUUUCAAGUAAUUAAAGUCAAGGGUGCUGUAUCAAGGAUUAACCAAAAUGACAAUUAGCAUAUGUAUUUUAAUCAACUUCAAGUUUUUCCGUUCUUUUAUGCAUACGGAAAUAGCAAACACUAUUUCUCAUAUUAAAUCAAAAUUUUUAUUCGCAAA